rnacentral:lncRNA from 1 species
UUUAAUGGGUGAUUAUUUUCAGAUCCAUCCAGUCCACUAGACUUGUGAAGUCUGAUUGUGUAGUGUUUAUCAUCAAUAUAUUGUGCAUACAUGAAAUACACCAUGUGUCACCAGAAAUUCAUCAAAUCAUAGAGAAAGCUCCUUUUAGUCUAUUGGCCUUGUCACUGCUAAUCUAGAUGAACUAUAGUGGUAGUGGAGGAAAAAAAUCAAGAUGGAUGGAUUUCCAUAGCUUAUUAGCCAAAGUCAUCGACUAAGUUGAUUCUCUCAUUCUAGAGUCUCACUCUUGCCCGUGCUCCUAGUUCAGGCAACCAAACUUCGUAUUCCUUGGGCAUAUUCAUUAUUGUCGAGGAAAUCUGGAUCCUCUCAUUAAUGUCCAGAUCUUGUGCUUGGUAUUUCAACUUUUUAGCUUUUAGAUGCGAAGAUUUAAUUUUUAAAAUCUUGAGGGACUUUAUAUUUUAAAUUUUCAAAGAUGAAAUAUAGAAGAGUGGGAUCUUAUUCAUAUCUUCAAUAAUUUGACUAUAUUCAUAUAUGGGAUCUUCAUUUGACAUUUUUGUCAUCUCAUAAUUUUAUUGUAAUUUUGUAGGUUAGGUCCUGAUUUUUAUGGUUAUCUAAUGGAAGAUGCAAGAAUACGGGAUACAUAUGAUGUUCUUCUAGGAUAUUCCCAGUGGCAACAUCAUCAUGGAAAGAAUAUAAAGUGCCGCUCUCUUACCAAUUCAAUGCAACUAACAGUAGGGGUUUGGAAAAAUUAAGGUGAUGAACUACAAAAGUAGAACAAGAAAAGAAGAAAUGGGAGGAUAACUUUGCAGUUCUGAGGAGAGGUUUAACUUGAAAUACAAGAGAAAUUGUAAUGAAAUUCAUUACAAAAUAACCAAUAAAACUGCAUAAUUUUAAAUAACACUUGCAUUGAUAUAUGGAGACUCAUUGACUAGCCUAUGCGAGAACUUUGGUGACUUUUGGACUACGACAGUUAAUAUUUAUUUUGAUCAAGGAUUUGAAUAUCAUUGCUAGGAUAUGGUACCACUGAUACUACCAUAUUGUUCUGACAGCAUCCAAAUGCUGUUACAGGGUGCGGGGCACUAAAAUUGGCCUGGACUGAUGUGUAGCAGACAUCUUUUCCAAGCUGAUAUUUGCAAUGUAAUUUUUGAAUUAAAAUUUUGGUAUAGAAUUAAUUAAAAGAUAAAAAUAUAUUAUAUAUAAAAAAAUUGGAAUAGAGAGAUGAUCUAUAGCUGUUUUAGAAGGUAGUUAUAUCAUGCAUUUAAGUAAUUAUCGAAAUUAACAAUUUCAAUUGAUUUAUUUGGAGAGAAGGAAGCAAUUUCUUCAAUCCGCUCAACUUUGACCUCUUAAAAGAGAAAUAUUAGAAAAUAAGAAAAUUACAAAAGUAGGGUUCUAAGUCCUCUUUCCUUUCAUUAAUCAGAUAAUAAAACUGAUCACAAUCUUUAUAUUAGUGAGGUCUAGGUCCCCUAAAUAUGGAUCGCGUUCUCUUCUAAGUAAAAGAGGUUACAGCUUUCCAUAAAUAGUUGUGGCUAGUCAAAAUAAUCAUGUUAUCCUAAAAUCCCAUUAGUGUUAGAUCUUAACUUCUAUAUUAACUUUGUAUUUGUCGCAUUGCCUAAUUUGUAGCAACCUAGGAUUUCAAAGGCUUAGCUGGAAGGUAUUGUUUGGAUUGUUUGGCUGUAUUUAAAUAAACAAGAUCUACCUAGUGCAUAGCCAAUGUGGGACUAAACGCAUGCCUGCACAUGUUACUUUUAGUGGUAAUGUGUUCUAGAGAAAAGUGAAAAGGAUGAUAUGUUCAAGCAGCUGCAUGUGUGAGAUUCUAGAUUGGGGGCGGCACCAAAUAUAUGAUAACAGUGAAAUCAAAACUGAAAUGUAAUCUUGACCGUAUAUAAGAAGGUUUACAUAAUAAUAACUUUUUUUCAUGUGUGUAUGCGAUAAAAUACAGAUAGAAGUUACUCAAUUUUGGGAAACAUGUUGCCUUCGUUGUUAAGUUGUUGUGUAUAACAUUUUUUUUUUUUUGGGAUACACAUUCGAACUAAGUUAGAAUCAUUAUUGUAAUUUGUUAGCAUGGUAUCGAAGUAGUGUCCUAUCUCCUUUUUAUCAUCAUAUUCUUUUUCUUUCUUAUAUAACUAAUGACUAAGACCACCUGAGUUUAUUUAAGAUUUUUCUAGAAGGAAUAGAUGCUUCAAGUUACAUGCCAUGCAUGUAUCGGAUAUGCAUUUGAUACAUAUCAAGUAUUGAUAUCAAAAUCAUAAGUUCAAUCCUCAGGAACAAUUCAGUUAGUAGAGAUUAGGAGUUGGGAAAGAAUCUGGCAAAUUUGUCAAAAGCUUGGAAAGAGCUUGGAUGAGCUAAAUUAGCAUAGCAAAACAAAAACUUUAAGCUUUUU